AUUGAACGCUGGCGGCAGGCCUAACCCAUGCAAGUCGAACGAGUGGCGGACGGGUGAGUAAUGUCUGGGAAACUGCCUGAUGGAGGGGGAUAACUACUGGAAACGGUAGCUAAUACCGCAUACCAUCGGAUGUGCCCAGAUGGGAUUAGCUAGUAGGUGGGGUAAAGGCUCACCUAGGCGACGCUCCCUAGCUGGUCUGAGAGGAUGACCAGCCAGACUGGAACUGAGACACGGUCCAGACUCCUACGGGAGGCAGCAGUGGGGAAGAUGGCACAAUGGGCGCAAGCCUGAUGCAGCCAUGCCGCGUGUAGGAAGAAGGCCUGCGGGUUGUAAAGUACUUUCAGCGGGGAGGCGUUACCCGCAGAAGACGCACCGGCUAACUCCGUGCCAGCAGCCGCGGUAAUUC
rnacentral:rRNA from 1 species